CCUACGGGAGGCAGCAGUAGGGAAUAUUGGUCAAUGGAGGCAACUCUGAACCAGCCAUGCCGCGUGUAGGAAGAAGGCGUUCUGCGUUGUAAACUACUUUUGAUUGGGAACAAAUGACUCUUGCGAGAGUAGCUGAGUGUACCAAUAGAAUAAGCCACGGCUAACUACGUGCCAGCAGCCGCGGUAAUACGUAGGUGGCAAGCGUUGUCCGGAUUUAUUGAGUUUAAAGGGUGCGUAGGCGGCUUGAUAAGUCAGUGGUGAAAGCCGAUCGCUUAACGAUCGAACUGCCAUUGAUACUACCAGGCUUGAGUAUAGAUGAGGUAGGCGGAAUUGACAGUGUAGCGGUGAAAUGCAUAGAUAUUGUCAAGAACACCAAUUGCGAAGGCAGCUUACUAAGUUAUAACUGACGCUGAGGCACGAAAGUGCGGGGAUCAAACAGGAUUAGAUACCCUGGUAGUCCGCACCGUAAACGAUGAUCACUCGCUGUGUGCGAUAAACAGUACGNGGCCAAGCGAAAGCGAAGUAAGUAGAUUCACGUGGAGGUUACGCCGCGAGGAGGAACGACGAAGAGAGUUAGACGGCGNGAGACGNGCGACGGACGACGACGAGGGAGGUAGGAG
rnacentral:rRNA from 1 species